CAAUACGUCAGCGGCAGACGGGUGAGUAACGCGUGGGAACAUACCUUUUGGUUCGGAACAACACAGGGAAACUUGUGCUAAUACCGGAUACGCCCUUACGGGGAAAGAUUUAUCGCCGAAAGAUUGGCCCGCGUCUGAUUAGCUAGUUGGUGAGGUAACGGCUCACCAAGGCGACGAUCAGUAGCUGGUCUGAGAGGAUGAUCAGCCACAUUGGGACUGAGACACGGCCCAA
rnacentral:rRNA from 1 species